rnacentral:lncRNA from 1 species
AAAUAUCUAAUAAAAUAUUUCAUUUUCUUAUAAAAUAAUUUUUAUAGAGUUAUCUGUAAGGAAUUUCUGUAACGCAAAAGCGAAAUAAAUUCAUACAUACUGUAAUACAGAUAGUCAAGGUAUGUAAUUAAAUUUAUAAUGACAAGUGGGCCCCCAAAUGACAAAAGUGAACGAAGGCUGGGAACCUACAAUUUUUGAGGAAGUAAAGCCAACUGUAACCUUCGACGAUAUCAGCUGUCUACAAACUAUCCUGAGCCUGAAAUGGGUAGAAAGGAGGGCGAUGAGAUUAUAUAAUCCCAGUGAGUAAACAAAUAUCAUCUAAAAUAUCUAAAGUUGAGUAAAUGGAGACAGAUAAAAUAGAUUAGCAUAAAAAUGAUUCACAGCAUUUCAAACUCAUUUUAAUAAGAUAAAAUAGAUUCAUUUCACCCAAAUAAACAACGAGGCUUAUGAUUUCCUGAAAAGCUUGGCUCGUGCCAAAAUCAUUCUCAUAUUCAGUUGUCAGGGAUACCUUGGUCUGAGGCUAUCCCAACCGAAUACGCCAAGGUUGUUAAAAAGUCAUGCAUGCAUAAAUCAUGUUUUUAUUUUGAAAACAUAGCCGUUCCUUGGCGUUGGCUGAGUUCACCCUCACGUGGUGGUUCAGCGUGAAGUGAACUCUAAAGUUUUAUCUUAGGAGUUACCCAUCCGCGCCUCUCCGAUCGAGGUAAGAAUAUACCCGGAUUCCGUGCCCCUCUAAAUAGGUUGGUCCACAGAAUCCGCCACUGUAGUGACCAAUCUAUAACCCACCAAUUCAAUAAAAAUUCAACAGCAUGACAUGGCAAUUUUAUCAUUAUCCAGCCUAUCAAGGCAAACAACAGUUUAUACAUUUUCAACAGAAAUACCCAUCCAGCCAUUCAUGCCCACAUUAUCAUAAGCCAUUCAAUUCAAACCAUAAUUUACAACACAGCAACUAGUCUCCAAUUACUCCAUUUUCAAAACCAUCAGUCAAUUUCAAGACAAUUUUAUAAAAUCAUUUCAUUUAAUCACAUUUUGCUUAUAAAACAUAAAGAUUUACCAUUUACACUCAUUUUCCAUAAAAUCACAAAAAUGACUUAAAAUUCACUUCAGAUAAUCAAGAUGAUGAUAAGGUUACUCACUGUAAUGGAAAUCGAGUUCCAAGUACUCCGAUUCUUGAUUCUCGGGUACUAUCUCUUUACUUUUGCCAGAAAGCUCACCACCUAGACAUAAUGCACAAUAAACCAUUUACUACAUUUGUGCUAAACCAUUGUAAAACCAAUUCAGGCUCUAUACUAAUGCAUGAAAUGGGAUGUGAAAUACUCGGGUAACUAUCUAAAUACGGUGUUCAAUAUAAAUUCAAUUAUGUACCUAAAUAAAAUGGUAUUGGCCUAAUUCGAUCUAUCACCCGAUUAAUUGGCCAAUAUGUCCAAUUCACUCCAAACAAUUCCAUUUCUCUCCCAAUACUCCAAAUCAUUAAACACAAUUUAAAUAACUUAAAAUGUGGCAAAAUCAUCCUCACAUUUUCUCUUGAAAAAUUCGGCCAUGGUGAGUGCACUAACAAUAUAAUUUUUCAUGCUUGAUUCUCACACCAUAAAUCAUUCAUUCCUAAUCAAAUCACUUGAAAUUCAAUCAAAUUCAUCAUCAAUAUUCCACAUGGAAUAUUCGGCCAAUGAAGGUGAUGAAAGAACAUGAAUUUUUCUUGCUUGCUUUUCAUACUACACAUCACCAAACAACUAAAAACACUAGAAUAACAUGUUUUCUAACUAAAUUCAUCAUCAAAUUCUCUCUCCUAAGGUUUGAUCAGCACACUAUCCUUCAUGAUAUCUUGUGAUUCAACCAUGAAAAAUGCAAAAUAAUGCAUAGGAAAGGUAGAUCACAAGCUAGAAUUAAGAAAUUUUACCUUUAAUGGCUUGAUUCCUUGAAAAUCAACAAUUUCCCUUUGAAUUUUUCUCUCUAGGGUUUUUGUUUUUCCUUUUUUUCCCUUUUUC